rnacentral:rRNA from 1 species
AUACUUAUCUGGUUGAUCCUGCCAGUAGUCAUAUGCUUGUCUCAAAGACUAAGCCAUGCAUGUCUAAGUAUAAACAAUUAUACAGUGAAACUGCGAACGGCUCAUUAAAUCAGUUAUCGUUUAUUUGAUAGUUUUCUACAUGGAUAACCGUGAUAACUUCAGAACUAAUACAUGACAGCCUUCUGGCGUAUAUAUUAGAUACAAACCAACAGUAUGGUGAUUCAUAAUAUCUUGUCGAACCGAUCUUCGGUGUAUCAUUCAAAUUUCUGCCCUAUCAACUGUCGAUGGUAGGAUCGUGGCCUACCAUGGUAACAACGGGUAACGGGGAAUCAGGGUUCUAUUCCGGAGAGGGAGCCUGAGAAACGGCUACCACAUCCAAGGAAGGCAGCAGGCGCGCAAAUUACCCAAUCCUGACACAGGGAGGUAGUGACAAUAUAUAACGAUCCGGGGCUCUUUGAGUUUCGGAAUUGGAAUGAGUACAAUUUAAACACCUUAACGAGGAACAAUUGGAGGGCAAGUCUGGUGCCAGCAGCCGCGGUAAUUCCAGCUCCAAUAGCGUAUAUUAAUGUUGUUGCAGUUAAAAAGCUCGUAGUUGAAAUUGGGCGGGCUAUUAGUUUAGGCCGCUUCAGGAAGAACUUCUUCCAGUUACUUUGAAAAAAUUAGAGUGUUCAACGCAGGUUUCGCCUGAAUAUAUUAGCAUGGAAUAACAUAACACGACGAGGGUCCAUUUUGUUGGCUUGCAAACCCACGUAAUGAUUAAUAGGGACAGUCGGGGGCGUCAGUAUUGUGUUGUCAGAGGUGAAAUUCUUGGAUUUACACAAGACUAACUACUGCGAAGGCAUUCGCCAAGGAUGUAUUCAUUAAUCAAGAACGAAAGUUAGGGGAUCAAAGAUGAUCAGAUACCGUCGUAGUCUUAACCGUAAACUAUGCCGACUGAGAAUGGGUACCGCUUAUACGGUAUCCGCGCUCUACGAGAAAUCAAAGUGAUCAGGUUCUGGGGGGAGUAUGGUCGCAAGGCUGAAACUUAAAGGAAUUGACGGAAGGGCACCACCAGGAGUGGAGCCUGCGGCUUAAUUUGACUCAACACGGGGAAACUCACCAGGUCCAGACACAAUAAGGAUUGACAGAUUGAUAGCUCUUUCUUGAUUUUGUGGGUGGUGGUGCAUGGCCGUUCUUAGUUGGUGGAGUGAUUUGUCUGCUUAAUUGCGAUAACGAACGAGACCUUGACCUACUAAAUAGCUCUACUUGCGAUUGCAGGUAGC